rnacentral:misc_RNA from 2 species
UCGAUUUUUAAAGAUGUGCUGGCACUCCUUCACUGGUUUGCAUGUGCACUCUACAAAAUCUCCUUCUCUUACCCCACUGUGCACACUCAAGUAGACAAACAGAGUUGCAGAGCAAUCUGUGUAAUUCCUGAUUUGCCUAUGUUUUUAUCAAACACCAAUAACAAUCUCAGAAUGAUCUAUAUAGUAAGCUUUUAACAAGCUGAAGUUUAAUA